GCACGCUUAUGCCGUUGAAUAUAUUAGCAUGGAAUAAUAAGAUAUGACUUCGGUACUAUAUUGUGGGUUUGCGCACCAAAGUAUUGAUAAAUAUGGACAGUUGGGGGUAUACGUAUACCGCAGUCACAGGUGAAAUUCUUGGAUUUCCGGAAGACAAACUACUGCGAAAGCAUUUACCACGGAUGUGUUCAUUAUUCACGAACGAAAGUGAGGGGAUCUAAAAUAAUUACAUACCAUCUCAUUCUUAUCCACAAACUAUGCCGACUCGGGAUAGGCGGUCAUUAUUUUUGACCCCGUCAGCACCGUAUGUGAAAACAAAUUCUUUGUGUUCCGGGGGGAGUAUUGUCGCCAGGCUGAUACUUA
rnacentral:rRNA from 1 species